ACCCGGUUGAAGGGUAAUGAUCAUACGUCUGUAAUGCAUUGUAUGGCCCAGAAUAGGUCCUAUUCUUCUACCUUUUCCAGGUAGUCGAUGGCAAUUCACAACUACCACCUUAACACCAAAGAAGAGUUCGACCCAAUGCUUUAUUUCUGUCUUAGUGAAUCCCGAUUCGACAUUAAAAGUAUAUUGAUUCUUUCCCAAUAAACGAAGACUUUUUUCUGUAAAUACUGCGUAUUUGAUUCCAUCCAUAAAUCGACUUUCCCUCCUAUGCUCUGAGUUCCAGUAUCGAUAAGAAUUCGAGUUCUUAUUGUUCUUAUGUUAUGGUUUGAAUAUACCAUACCAAUUCGUUAUGUAUGGAUGAUGGAUGAGAUUCCAUGGAUAGAGAGCCAGUUCCAAUAGACUUAUGGAAUGUUCCCGUUCGUGUGCAUCGAGCAGGAAUUGAACCCGCAAAUUUACCAACUAUAAGUUGGGCGCUUUAACCAUUCAGCCAUGGAUGCUUAACAGGGAUCAUCGUACAUCGUAAAUAACCAAUUUUCAUAUAGAAAGACAUAUCAUAGAAAAAUGAAAUCGAAAAUAUUCCGAGAUGGCAAAUAUUCGAAGAUGACUAUAAAAACACCUCUCUGGAUCCUCGAAUUGAAAGAGAGAUUGAGAGGGAUCAAGAAUCCUAAUUCUCGCUAUUUGGAAUGGAUCCAAUUCUAUUGAGUCUGACUCAUAGUGAUCAUUUCUCUUUAGCAAAGAAUGACCUUGGUUAUCAAAGGAUUGAACAACUGGGAUCCAUUUCCUUAUGAUACCUAGUUGGCAUUGAUAACAAGGAUCUAAUGAAUUAUGAGUUUAAUAGAUCCUCUUUAGCAGAAAGACGUAUAUUCCUUGCUCAUUAUCAGACAAUCACUUAUUCCCAAACCUCGUGUGGGACUAAUCGUUUUCAUUUACCAUCUCAUGGAAAACCCUUUUCGUUCCGCUUAGCCCUAUCGGGUAUUUUAGUGAUAGGUUCUAUAGGAACUGGACGAUCCUAUUUGGUGAAAUACCUAACGAAAAAUUACGAUUUUCCUUUCAUUAAGGUACCAGGGCUUCUUAUUCCACAAGAACGAAAGCACCUUUUCAUUCUUUCAUANNNNNNNNNNUUUAGCCCUAUCGAGUAUUACGAUUUUCCUUCCAUUAAGGUACGAGGGCUUCUUAUUCCACAAGAACGAAAGCACCUUUUCAUUCUUUCAUAUACUAGGGGUUUUUACUUGGAAAAGACAAUGUUCCAUACUAAAGGAUUCGGGUCCAUAACCACGAGUUCCAGUGCACUAGAUCUUGUAGCAGUUAGCAACGAGGCCCUAUCCAUUAGUAUUCCACAUAAGAAAUCCAUUCUAGAAAAAAAUACAAUUAGAUUAGCUCUUCAUAGACAAACUUGGGGUUUGCGAGCCAAGGUAAGAUCGGCUCGGGAUCAUGGGACCCUUUUUAUCAGAUAGGAGGGGCUCUUGUACAAAAUAGACUUACUAAGUAAUAACCCCAUAGAAUCUAUCUAUAUAAAGAUAAAGAGGCAAUCGUGUCAGGAAGCGGGUUUUUCUUUGGCCAAAAGGUACUUCGAACUUGGAACGAGCAUGAAGAGAUUAACGAGACUUCUUUCUCUUUUGAGUUUUUCUGGCGGACCUGCCGUGCAAGAUCUUUGGUCUUCCCCUGGAACCGAUGAAAAAAAGUGGAUCGCUUCUUAUGUACUCGCUCAGAAUGAUUCUUCUCUAUCUAUAGUUCAUGGCCUAUUAGAAGUAGAAGGUGCUUUGGUGCAAUCCUUACCGACAGAAAAAGAUUGCAGUCAGGUUGAUAAUAGUCGAGUGACAUUACUUCGUCGGUCCGAACUAAGGAAUCUGUUAUAAAUGUUUUGAAAUGGAUAUUGUUCUCUCUUUGAUCAGGGAUUGCUAUAUGAAAAGAAGUGGAGUUUGAAAAAGGGAACGGAAUGCUCAAACCGGAACUGCUAGAGGAACGAAUUUUCAAUAGCAUAACUUGCGCUCCUAGAAUAUGGCGCCCUUGGGACAAUCUAUUUGAUUGCAGGGUUUUGUUCCGAAGCAAAGAUAUCCGCGGAGGCCGGUUCAUUCGUCCUAUUCUGAUAUUCAGGACCAAGAGGUACUGGAUUCUAUUUCGGAUAGGCCCUUGCUUUUCAUGGUUCUCAUCUCUGCAACUCGCAAUUUUCGCGAGAGAACCAAAUCCAAGUUGGUGAAGAUCAUGAUUUGGGAUGGCACGGUAUUGGGAUCGUUUGAUCGAUUUCCUUAAUUUGAUCGCUACUUAAUGGGCGUGCGCUCAAAGGAUACAAACAUGGAUUCGCAAACAAAAAGGGGAAUUCGUAGUCACUUUUUCCUGUCGCGUAAAAAAANNNNNNNNNNGAAAGGAGAAGAAAGGCUGAAAUGCCAACGGACCUCUGUCUAUUCUCUAAUUCACCCGAUCCGAUAGUACCCGUUUCUGGAACGUCCAGUGCCAAAGUCAUUGAAUUGGUAAGUCACCAAUCCAAUCCGUUUGACAAAUCGGA
rnacentral:lncRNA from 1 species